rnacentral:lncRNA from 1 species
AAAGGGUGUUUUUAGUAUCAAAGUUAAGUAUAAAAAUAACGGUAUUUCAACCGUUAUCACUCUUCAAUGGUCUCCUUAUUAAUGUACUUUCUUUUAUUUGUGAGGAGCUCUUUUGGAAACUUUGCAUAUGAAGGCAUUUGUUGUAGUGCUUCAGAAAAAGAUAUGGUGAUCUCCAGUUUCUUAAAGAUUUCCAUGAAUUGCUCAAUUUGUUUUUCUUUCUCCUUCCUUGAAUAAGUCUUUGAAUAAGGAAGGGAUUUUUCAAAAAAAAUUUCUUGUUUUCUCUAAUCUACCUCUUCUUUCUUUUUUUUCUCCCUCAAUUCUCUCCUUUUCUCUUCUCUCCCUUUCUUCCUCCUCUCUUUUCUUUUUUCUCUCACUUUCUUCUUCCUCACUCAAAUUUUCUUUCUCUUUUCUCUCGAUUUUUCUCUCAUCUAACACUUUGUCACUUCUAGUAACAAUGGUCUUACACUCUUCCCUUGGAUCGCCUCCUACAUUCCUCUCAAACCCCUUCAUCUUGUUGACCAAUUGCCCAAUGUGCAUCUCCAUUCUUUUGAACGUAGCCUCC